GAUGAACGCUAGCUACAGGCUUAACACAUGCAAGUCGAGGGGCAGCGGGAUUGAAGCUUGCUUCAAUUGCCGGCGACCGGCGCACGGGUGAGUAACGCGUAUCCAACCUGCCCAUCACUUGGGGAUAACCUUGUGAAAGUAAGACUAAUACCCAAUGACGUCUCUAGAAGACAUCUGAAAGAGAUUAAAGAUUUAUCGGUGAUGGAUGGGGAUGCGUCUGAUUAGCUUGUUGGCGGGGUAACGGCCCACCAAGGCGACGAUCAGUAGGGGUUCUGAGAGGAAGGUCCCCCACAUUGGAACUGAGACACGGUCCAAACUCCUACGGGAGGCAGCAGUGAGGAAUAUUGGUCAAUGGACGAGAGUCUGAACCAGCCAAGUAGCGUGCAGGAUGACGGCCCUAUGGGUUGUAAACUGCUUUUAUAAGGGAAUAAAGUGGGAGUCGUGACUCUUUUUGCAUGUACCUUAUGAAUAAGGACCGGCUAAUUCCGUGCCAGCAG
rnacentral:rRNA from 1 species